rnacentral:lncRNA from 1 species
UGACUUUCUUCUACAAUAAACUUCAUGAAAUGAUCACUUUCUAAAGUUGUAAGAAUUCUUCAGAGCAUCAAUCACAAAACUUACCUCCUCUGUUUUCUACAGGAGUAUUUUUGGACCGACCAACCUCGAAGUCCAGAGGAAUAAAUCCUGAUCUGAACUGUGGGACCAGGGAUCUUUGGCUGUUAUCUAAACAAGGUCUCACACAUGAUUCAGGGUCAAAGUUCACUUUUAUUUAUUACUUUAUAUGUCUAGUUUUUUGUUUGCACAGAUUUUUUUUUUUCAAAUAUUUUCCUUCAAAUUCCGGUAUGAGCUUCUCUUCCAUGGAAAUAACAUUUCAGCAGCAGUAAUGUCUGUAAAUGUUGGACAUGUUUACCCCCCUCCAAACGUCAUAGACCCCUUUGUCUUUGGAGAGUGAUAUAUAUAUUCCACAUGAACUCUUUCUUGUUUAUUCUGAGGGGUUACGGGUCAUUCACCACUAAUGUACACUAAUAGUCCGCUCAUCUAUGAGGCGAUGAUUAAACUGAGUGUAUAUCUACUGACAAUGAUUUUCACUCAUAUGUACCAGACAAAAUUUGCACUAUUAACUCAGAAGAUAGCAGAUAUUAAAAAGUAAGAUCUCUGGAUGCUAUUAAUAACAAAAUGACAUGUUGCACAGACGUGUUUUUUUAAAUGCUCAAAGCUUUUAUUGUUGCCCAGAUCAGAAAAAAAAAAAUUAAAAUGUUUUAACCUGAUACCAAAAUAAAGCAGCGUUCCUUAUGCAGCGUUAAAGUGAUAGAAAAGCGGGAAAAAAAGAGAUUAACAGCGCUCAGGUUCAACGUGAGACCAGAUGAGUUUUCAAACACAUGAACUGGAGUUUCUGUGCUUCACAGCCUCUUCUCCUCAGAGUCUCAGGACUCUUGAUCCUUCAUACAGACAGAUGGGUACGGCUCAUCACACUGAAAAUCAUCCCAGCACCUUCGACCUAACCAGAAACACAGGAGAAGAGACCAUCGUAAG